rnacentral:rRNA from 1 species
CGAAGCGCUGACAGCAUCUAAGCGCGAAGCGGGCCCUAAGAUGAGGUAUCCAGGCUGUCCGUUAGGGCAGCCACAGACCCCCGCACGACCAGCGGGUAAGCCGGUCGCCGUGGACGCGUGGCAACACGUGGAGCGAGCGAUCAGGCAGCGGUCGACCACUUUCUCCUA